rnacentral:rRNA from 1 species
UGCCAGCAGCCGCGGUAAUACGAAGGUCCCAAGCGUUAAUCGGAAUUACUGGGCGUAAAGCGCGCGUAGAUGGUUUAUUCAGUUGGGUGUGAAAUCCCUGGGCUCAACCCAGGAACUGCAUUCAAAACUUAUAAACUAGAGUACGAAAGAGGAGAGUAGAAUUCAUGGUGUAGCGGUGAAAUGCGUAGAUAUUAUGAAGAAUACCAGUGGCGAAGGCGGCCUCCUGGAUCUGUACUGACACUGAGGUGCGAAAGCGUGGGUAGCGAACAGGAUUAGAUA